rnacentral:rRNA from 1 species
GACGAACUCUGGCGGCGUGCCUAAUACAUGCAAGUCGAGCGAAGCAGCGGAUGGGUGAGUAACGCGUGGGUAACAUGCACUUAAGUCUGGGAUACCAUUUGGAAACAGAUGCUAAUACCGGAUCCUAAAGGAUGGCACUGCGAUGCAUUAGCUAGUUAGUAAGGGAACGGCGUACCAAGGCGAAGAUGCAUGGUCGAGUUGAGAGACUGAUCGGCCACAUGGAGACUGGUACACAGCCCAAACUCCUACGGGAGGCAGCAGUAGGGAAUCGUCCACAAUGGGCGAAAGUCUGAUGGAGAAACGCCGCGUGAGUGAAGAAGGUUUUCGGAUCGUAAAGCUCUGUUGUUGGUGAAGCGGUAAUCAACCAGAAAGUCACGGCUAACUACGUGCCAGCAGCCGCGGUAAUUC